UGGUGAUGAUGGUGUCAAUUUUAGCCUUUUUACCUAAGGAUUAGAAAGUCCAUCCUUCCACGUUUCCUACCAUGUCACUCUUCAAUUAGUUAUAUAAUACCCAUGUAAGUCCAAUUUAGUUUGACGCAUUCGCACAUGAUGUACCAAUCCAUACAAAUACUCAGUCCUACUCGUACUAUGACAAAACUUAGUACUAUUAUCUAUUUUUUUUUUUUUUUUUUUUUUUUUUAAUAAUUAAAUUUGUGGAAAAUACUUAUUUUUUCAAUUUGACAAACGCUUUCCCAGAAAGUUUUAAUCUCAUAGUGUACCUACAUAAAGGACAUAAAAAGGUGUGUUGUUGUCAGUACAGCAAUAAUUUAACAAGUAUUAAAAAUAUUCAUUAUCAUAUUGGAAUGAAAGUUUGAUACCCUUCAACUCACUGAAUCAGUUUUCUACUUAAUUUAUUUUAGACUUAUUUUCUUACUUCAUAAACAUUUUAAAUAACGGUUGUUCAACUUGCAAUAAAAUUUUAGAGUGAUACUAAAUUCAUUCAAUUUGGAGAUCACUGCAGUAUUUUUGUUGACCCAAAAUAGUAGAUUAGGCCACAACUUAUUUUCUUUCAUAAUUCUUUCAUCAAUCAAGAUUAAAUUAUUUUGGAUUACUUGAGGAAAUUACUUUUUAAAAUAUUUUCUUUUUAUCCAAACCUUAUAAAUUCCGUUAAACAUACAACAAGAAUAAUCCUUAAAAGUUUCACAAUUUUUAUUUUGUAUUAAGCAGAAUAAUUUUUAAUUAAUUUUAAUUUUUUAAUGUCCCAGGAAUCGCCGGGAGAACCUACUCCCGUUACAAUGAAAAUAGAAAUAUCAUUUGCAAGAUAUGUGCAAUGCUCUUUAAAAAAAUCUCAUAUAGGAUAUAUAUUAUUUGUUAUCUUUCAUAAAACAUCGACAUUUUUAUGAAAAUUUUUAAAGACCUACAGUCUUAAGGAUCGGUAAUACCAGUGCUAAGACUAAACUGGACUGAAUCCUGUCUGGAACGACACAACACUAAUUUUAAUUAUAUUUUAAACCCUUCAUUGAUUGAUGAUUUAAUUAAAUUGACCCCCAUAUGACAUGUCAAAUAAAAAUUUAUCGAUGUCCUAUAUUUUCAUUGUAAUACCCUUUGCUAGUAAAUUAUGGUCUUGGAGGGCCUACAGGCCGAAAAACACAUUUAUUAUUGUUAUUGAAGCCGUAAAACACUAAUUAAUGAACAUUAAAACAUUUAACAGAUAUGAGUUUGACAUUCAAUACUUUUUUUUUAAUCAAGUUUUUAGAGUAUAAUUACAAUUACGUACCAUAUUUCGACAUGAAAGAACUAUAUAGAUGAAAAUAAAGGUAAAUAUAAAUUGAUACAAACAUUUCAGCAUUAUAAAAUGGAUUAUGUAUUACUUUAUCUCGAUUAAAAUCAAUAAAAAAAUUCUAGCCCCAAUUAAAAUCGAGUGAAGUGAAGGAUAUUACUUAGAAGCAUAUCACUUCUAUAUUUUUUCUUCAUGUUCUUUCAAUCAUAGAUUCUUAUACUAAUUGUGUAAAACCAGGAGCACUUUUAAAUGGAUGUACAUCAACCAAAGAGCGAAUAUUAGGGGGGGAGAAGGGUUAAUGAAGGAGAAAUUCCAUGGCAAGUCCAGUUUCAACUAAGAAAAGAAGAUUUUUCUAAGAGUGCAUGUGGAGGGACAAUCAUAAGUCAUCAGUUUGUUCUCACUGCAGCACACUGUUUCAUCUACCCUAAAGGAGUUAACACUUCAUCGAAUACACGAUUAAAGGAUUCAUAUAUUAUGGCAGGAUCAACUAAGUUUAACAGUGGCGAAAAACAUACCAUAAAAAAAUUAAUUGUUCAUCCUGAAUAUAGCUGGAAUGUGGGUUUUCUACUAAAAAAUGAUAUAGCUAUUGUUCAAGUGAGUAACCCCUUUGUAUUUGGGGAAAACGUGAUGGCUCUUUGCUUACCAAAAAGUUGGUUUGUCCAUCCCAGAAGGAUCGACGCUUAUAGUAAGCGGAUGGGGAGUCACCAGUCUUCACACAUUAUACAAGUAUUUUCCUAACUUUAGUCAAACAAAUAUGAGGACAGAGUUGAAAACAUUAAGUAUGGAGAGUGAAAAGUGUGAAUAUAGUAAGGAUUAUCCCGUCAGUCCAAAUUCUAAAAUGUGUACAUACAAUCCUCCUCAUGAUUCUUGUAUUGGAGAUAGUGGAAGUCCUCUUACAAUGGCUAUUGAUGGCCAAUGUAUACUAGUUGGGAUUGUGUCUGAAGGGAAAGAUUGUGGAUCAGAUCAAUAUGGUGCACUUUCAGUGAAUGUCUCAUAUUAUACGACUUGGAUAUUGAAGCAGAUUAAG
rnacentral:misc_RNA from 1 species